UUUUAAAGACGUAUUUAAACAAUCAUCGAUAAAAACUCCGAAUCAUGGCUGCCUUUACGUUAUCGAUUGUUCAUCGCAUCUUCUUGGCUAGCACGUGGACUUGAAAAGGUCUAUUUCAUUUUCAAAUCUCAAGAUGUGAACAAAUUUGAAGCCCGUUGGGCAUACUAAGCUUGAAAAUCUUCAAAAACAUGUGAGGGUCGUGAGACACCUCGAGGCAACAUGGCAAACUUUUGAGACACCUUGGGACACUUCCUACUUAAGGUUAUGUGGCCACAUGGUUCGGCUCUUUGAGGCUCGGAAGUAUAGACCCUUUUUCAAGGUAUUAAAUUGAUGGGUGGCUCAUGGAUAAAACUUCAGUGAAAAUGGAACCAUAGACAGAAGGACCCCUAAUGGCAUUUACGAUUUUGUUGUCUAGUCUGGUUCAAUAAAACUUUUAUCUUUUAUACAUA